rnacentral:lncRNA from 1 species
CUUUGGUAUAGAGGAAUCUACCAGCUGUAAUGACAAUGCUAGAGGCAUGUCAUUAACAAACAGGUAAGGUUUUAUAUAAUUAAAAUCUAAUGAAUGGCUGUAUAAUGUUGGAACGGCGGGAAUUUUUUUAAGUUAUUUUCAAAAUAUACCGGUUAAAAAUAAAACUCAAAAGACUCCCUACAGGGAUACAAAUUUAUAUACGAGCACUGCUAUUGUUUCCUAUUCCAAUAAUAGUAUAUUAAUCGUGUUGCUAUAUAUAACGAAUCCUUAGAUAAAAUACAAAAACAAAAUCAAUAAAAACAUGAUUUAUGAUAAAGACGUACAACAAACUAAAAUCAUACAUGAUUUAAACCAAACAUUUUAGAGAACGGAAAAUCCAUUUGCAAUAUCCUUCGAGUUGUUAUAUUUUUCAAAUUGGAUUAUCUCCGUUUUACCAGAAAAAAAGUAAUAUGUUCUGUAGCCCAUAUUCAAUGUGAAAGUCUGGAGUCGCACAAUAAAUUGAACGUUUAUUAUACGCCUGGAUUGUUAGUCCUAAGAUAAUUUCUAAUCUAAUAAGGAUAAUACAAAAUGGCAUCCAUAGAAAUCCGGACGAGAUUGUUUUAAGUUUUAUCAUCAAUUUCAUUCCUUCUUAACUAGAAAUUUUCAACCUGUUUAGGACCUUCAAUUUCUUUAACGUGUAAAACAUAUUUUAGUGAAAAAGAUUAGGCGCCGUCGAGAAACAUUGUGGCAAUAUUUAUUUUUAAUCACGUUGUGUCAGUGAAUUUACUGUUUGGGAUAUACAUCUAACUCUCAGUAAGAAAUAUUAAAUUGAUAUAUACAUCCCCGUUUUGGUACAUGUUUCGAAUACUGUGUUGUUGUUUUGGCUUAUAUAUUCAAUAGUUUAAAGUAUUCUGAUACAAUCUCAUUUUAAUAAAACAACGUAUUAAUAGAAGCAGAACUGGCUAAUUUACUUAUAACUUGAAUUGGUGACACAUGCGCAGUACUGUGAUUGAUAUGUGUAACCGUUUAAAUUUGAUAUUUCAAGACAAAUAUGACAAAUACAAUAUCCAUAUCAUCUGAGACCACUAUAGUAGUGUGGGGUAUUAUAUUCAUGUAUCAAAACGCAUGAAGUGUGAAACCUAUGUCAACUUGUUGAAUAAAAAUUCAAAAAAUACCUUUUCGAGGAUUUUUCUAAUAUUUGAUUAAAAUAUAAAACUGCCAAAAAAUCAUCAAGUGGUAAUAAAACAAACAGCGAGAGCGUUCAAAAUACAAAUAAAGUGUUGAACUGCAAAGCGUUCCCUUCAAUAAACUAAACAUUAGGCUUGUAACAUAUCACAUGCAUGCCCCCGAUCAGAAUGUUGUUUCUAGAAUACAUGUUUCAGUAGAGAGCAUUGAACUCAACCUACAAAUUGCCUGUAUAAAAAGUACAUGUUUCGUAUAAUGACGAUAUCAGUACGAAUAAAAGGAAACUUGGGGGAUACGAAAACACGACACAAAUAAUCGAAAGACAUCGGACGCUAGUCAACAAACAGACAGCUAGGUGCACGUGUUUAUAAAAAAAAUAUCGAGUUCUAAAUCAUCAAAAGUAUAAAACUAUGCAGAAUAUUUAAAAAAAAAAAUUUCAAAGUAAAUAAUAUCAAAGUAAUGGAAAUAUAUAAAAAAAAAAUCCGCAAUCAAGGAAAAAAGGUUAAAAAACUAAUAACCUUAUUACAUAUUAGUGCACGUGCAGGUCAGUAAAUGUUACAUAACACUAGGUUUAUUCAUACAAUGUCUGCAUCAGGAAAUGCAUGUACCAUGUCAAGAAUUUGACAUUUGUUUUUUUUAUUCGUGUGAUGUGUUUGAGCUUUUGAUUUUGCCAGUUGAAAAAUGACUUUUCGUUUUGAAUAUGCCUUAGAGUUUGGUAUUUUUGUUACUUAACUUUUUUAUGUCCUUUCUUGGAAGUCUUGUUGUUUAUUUCUUUAUCAAAUAUACCCAAGAGUGUUCAUUAGCAGCAUGAGUUAGAAUUUCAAACUUUGGAAUUUCAACCAAAGAUGAAGAACUGAAUCUUCCAUCACUGUAUUGGAUACCUAAACUACAUAAGUGUCCUUACAAACAAUAAUUGCUGGGUCUUCCGAAGUGCUCCACGAAACUCUUUCUAAAUUAUUAACAUUUUAUCAGCAAUCAAAGACGGGUUCAAAGUUAUUGUCGAAACUGCUAUUCUAAGGUGGCGUGAUCAGAUGUGAUACUUAAAAAUUCAAAGAUCUUUUAGAGUACAUUACAAUCUUAACUCUCUUUCAUCUUGUAACAAUUAAAACAUUUGACUUUUCUACUCUUUACCAAGUAUUACCACAUUCCAAACUAAAAGACAAAUUGAAGAGUGGUAUUAUACUUUGCUUCAUAAAAAAAGAAUGGCCAAACGUAGAUACAGUAUCUUCUUAGGGAGGGAUAAAUCCUACUUGAAAGAACUCACUGAUUAUACAAAAAAAUCUCUGAAACUGAUAUUAUCAAGAUGCUUGAUUUCUUAUUGACAACAUAUUUGUUACGUUCGGAGGAUGUUUUUUACAGACUGUCGGCAUCCCAAUGGGAACAAACUGUGCCCCUCUACUUUUGUUCUUAUUAUUCAUGGGCUGAUUCAUGCAGGACUUUAGGAAGAAAGAUAAGAAAGUUAGCAAUAUCCUUUAAACUCUACUUUCCGCUAUAUAGAUGAUGUUCUUUCACUAAACAAAAGCAUCUAUCCCAUCGAACUAGAGAUAAAGGAUACUACAGAUACAGUAAGUCUUAUAUCUUGACAUCUAGAAAUUGACAUUAGGGUCGGUUUGAAAAAAAAACUGUACGACAAAAGAGUGAUUUCAGCUUUCCAAAUUGUGAACCUUCCAUUUUAAGUAGCAACAUUCCAGCAGCACCUGCAUACGGGGUAUAUAAUCUCCCCAAUUGAUACGAUAUUCCCGUGCUUGCAUUUCCUAUCAUGAUUUUCUUAGAUAGGGUUGCUGCUCACAAGGAAGCUAUUAAACCAAGAGUUCCAAAUGGUGAAGUUGAAAUCAUCCCUCUCGUAAAUUUUCCGGACGCCAUCACGAGUUGUUACCGUUAUGGAUAACCGUUUCACAAAUAUAUCGGAUAUGUUCCUAACGUCGUAACUACAAUUCCCUUCCCUUUCAUGAAUGUGACCUACCGAAUUAGACUAUUUACCGGAUUAAAUAUUGUAAUCACAUAAGCAACACGACGGGUGCCACAUGUGGAGCAGGAUCUGCUUACCCUUCCGGAGCACCUGAGAUCACCCCUAGUUUUGGUGGGGUUCGGUUGUUAUAUUCUUUAGUUUUCUAUUGUCAUGUUUACUAUUAAUUUUCUGUUUUUCUUUUUCAUUUUUAGCCAUGGCGUUGUCAGUUUGUUUUAGAUUUAUGAGUUUGACUGUCCCUUUGGUAUCUUUCGUCCCUCUUUUAGAGUGUUUAUAAGCAAUAUGCUGUAUUGGUCUUUCAAAAUACAACUUUCCAGUAGUAGAUUCAAUGCAUAACAAGAGCGGUUCUUGUUGUAUCUUCCAUCUCUUUUUUCAAUAAUUUUAAAAGGUACCAGGAUUAUAAUUUAAUACGUCAGACACGCGUUUCGUCUACAUUUUUGCAAUGUCCUAUUCGUGUGGUCAUCGUUUUAAUUGCAUUGAUCCAAUUAUAUACCAGAUAUCCCGAUGCCAAAUUCGCAUAAGGGUUUUAAUUCCUUUGUGCUGGCGGAUUGAGAUACACGGUGUGAUUUGAAUAGAAUUUUUUUUAAAAAUACCAUACGAUGAUCGAUGCAGUUGGUGGUAUGAUUUUGUAUCAAACUAAAUAGGAUAACGAAAAAAGUGAAGAAAAAAUGCUAGUUGUAAUAGAUACAAAAUAUAUAUUGAUGUCUAUCAAAUUUAUGUUUUCAUUCCUAAGCCAAUGUAUUUGUAUAACCGGUGGUUAUUCAUUUUAUGAAACAAAGUUAAUUCAUUUAUAUUUCUUUUAUUUAGAAUACAAGUGGCAGAAAAUGAAAGAACCAGUCCAGUAGUGAUAUCCAGCCGUAACAUUUAAAUUGUAUCAGUUCAGAUUGUAAAAAUUAACAAGUAAAACGAAUGUGAAAACAGUGUGUGGAAUCGACCAAAAUUGACAAUUUGAUCUUAUUUGCUCAUUGCAUCAUAUAGAUAUGAUUUAUAUGCAAUAUUUGUUUGGAUAAAAUAACUACUUUCUGUUUUGAACUUUAUGAAAAAUAUGAAUUUCAUUUUCUAGUUGAUAAAAUAGAUUACAAAAAAAAGAAGAUGCAUGAUUGCCUAUGAGACACCUAUUAAUUAACGAAAAAGUACGAAUACUGUUUACAAAUACUGAUUAUUACCGUAUUGUAUUAAAUCAAUAACAUGCCCAGCGAUGACAAUAUAUGAAACAAAUUUAAAGAAGUAACAAAAGUUCUGAUCUAUACACAAUACAAAGAACGAAAAAAAAUUAUUCAAGGCUGCAAUUAAAUUAACGGUACUAAUUUUCUUGCACCAGAUGCGCAUUUCGACAAUACAUGUCUCUUCAGUGAUGCUCGUGGCCUAAAUAUUUGAAAUCCAAAGCUUAUAUAAAAGAUGAAGAGCUAUAAUCCAAAAGGUUCAAAAAGUAUAGCCAAAUUCGUGAAAGGAAUCAGAGCUUUGCAUGAGGGAGAUACAUUCUGCAACAUGAUCUCACCUUUAAAAUAAGUUUACAUUAGGAAGUUUACUAUGCAUUCAUUUGAACGUACAUCAUGUUUUCCGUUGCUGCUAUGAUGCUUGAACAGUCUCUUACACCAGAUAAAAUGUAACGAGUAUGGUUAUGAUAAGUAAUUUAUAUGCUAAAAACAUAUUCAAAAAUAUUACUCAAGACACCAUCCCACUUAUAACUUGAUAACACUAUAAGCUGUAUAAACUAUUAAAGAACCUAUUAGUAAGUAAAAAAUUGAAAACAAACACGUCUAAUAAUUUCAUGAGUCCGACGCUCUUUUCUGGAUUAACCUUCAUCAGGAACGCUUAAAGCCAAACAUUUGAAAUACGAAGAUGUAUAAGUACCGAUUCCGUUGAUGAUCUAUACAUGCUAUAUGACAAAAAAUACACAAAAAAUAAUAAAUGGCCAAAAUCAUCUUCAGUCAACUUUGCCUAAGGGAAUUGAAACCUUAGUUUCUAAAAAAUUUAUAAAUUUAUGAACGGAUAAUUUUAUAAAAGUUUGCUAAAUUAUGCACUGACUACUGAGCUGAAGACACCCUUGGGGACUGAUAGUCCACCAGCAGAGGUCGACCUGAUGUGGCAUUUCCACUGAUACCAGUGAUAGAUGCAAUGAAUACGACCAUUUGACAUUUGCAUCUAAUUAUCUUUCAAGGGUUUGUACACAUAAAACAUGUAACAAUUAUUUAAAGAAAUUCCAUUGAAAGACAGGGAACGGCAUUGUUACUUUUAUCAGUUUUUAAUUAAUAUCAAACAUGUUAAAAACAGUGGAAGUGUUACUCUCCGGGCGAUACUACAUUUUUUCUGACCAAACAUCUUUUAUUAUAAAAGAGGAAGGUUUGUCAUGCCACAAAACCAGGUUCAACCCACUAUUUUUUCCUUUAAAAAUGUCUUUUACUAAAUCAGGAAUGUGGCCAUUGUUAUAUUAUAUUUCAUUUCUGCUUGUGUUACAUUUCAACUUUGUGUUUCCGUUGUGUCGUUUGUUUUCUCUUAUUUUUGAGUGUGAAUUCACAUUACUAUAAGACGUGUCACGGUACUUAUCUAUCCCAUUUUCAUGUAUUUUGUUUUGAUGUUAUAUUUGUUAUUCUCUUAGGAUUUAGUUUAAUGCUUAGUCCGUUUCUCUGUGUGUUACAUUUUAAUGAUGUGUCAUUGUUCUCCUCUUAUAUUUGAUGCGUUUCCCUCAGUUUUAGUUUUUUACCCCCAUUUUGUUUUUUGUCCAUGGAUUUAUGAGUUUUGAACAGCGAUAUACUACUGUUGCCUUUAUUUAUUGUAUUUUGAAAUUGAAAUUUCUUCAGAAUGAAAUAUAUAAAAGUGGCCAUAAGAAGAAAGUGUUUAAGAUGUGACGAAUUUACGGAAAAAGAUGGUGAUGUUAUUGCGACUACGUUGCUUUUAGGUUGCAUUUCUGUAAAUAUUGACAAUGAAAUUUCCAAUAGGAACUACUUUUACGGCCAAAACUGUACCGUUUUUACUAUGAAGUUUUGAAAAAAGUCUUAUCCUAGAAUUUAAAGUUCAUAUGCACUACACUUUUUUUCAAAGGUCAAGAUAUAGGGCUGUCCAGCAUAUUUUCAACGUUUAUAUACCCUGAACUUUUCAGAGUUUGAACUAACACUAAUUUUCUUAACUACUCCUACCUCGAAUGAAGGGCUACUACAGAUUUCAAUGUAAAAACAAUAUGUACAUGUAUAUUUACUGGUAACACUCCCAAGUAAAGUCUCUAUGAGAUGGAAUACAGAGAGCAUAACUGGGAACCAGUAUGUAAACAAAAUUAAUUUUCUAUGAAUAUUCUAAUUCUCCCCAGACGUAGUUUGAGAAACAGCUGUAUUUACAAAGUGCAACCUUUAAAAAAAACGUGAAGAUGAGCGGGUUUAAAAAAUGUAUAUACUAAUGUACCCGAAAAUGAAAAAUAUAUUCAAAUAUAUCUAUAGGUCUGUUUUUUGUUAAUUGAUAUAUAUGACAUGGCAUAUAUUUUUGAUAAGCAAAAUAUAUGAAAAGGGUGGGAUACUUGAUGUCUCAGCUGCUCACCCCUAGCAAAAAAUAAGUUUGUAGUGCCCCCUCCCCUCCCAAGUUUUAUAAGGACUUACAAUUUUGACAUGUUCGAACUAUUGAAAUUGUGGAAUGCGACAUAACUCGACCUAUAAACACGAUGAUAAUUGUACUUAUAGUAGGAAAUCGUUAAUUUCUUUAUUGAGUAGAGUUAGUCACGGACCACCAAAUAAUGUUUUAUUGAACGUGGCAUUGGUCGACGUACUAUCCGUUGACUGUCCUGGUCGGAGAUCAUAAGGCUGUUGACCACUGUUGAUUUUAAAACUUGUAGCAAAGAUAAGAUCGUUUGGAAAAUAAAAACGCUUCUGGUUUUCUUGAAAUCUUAAAUAAGUAUACAACGGAGCGCAUCAAUCCUUAAGUUUUAAUGAUAGAUAAUUGACAAGAAAGUCUAAGCUACAAAAUCUAUAGGUAUAUUUGUCUUAUACGGAAAGGUCCAAUUCUUCAAAUUUGUUGGUUAGUUUAAAAAAAAAACCAGGGACAUCAAACGGACUAUUUGUUGUCAAGGUUAUACGGCUACUGUUCCUUCAAUAUUUAGUAUUCUGAAUAAAUUAAAAACAAUUAUGCUACUACAUAUAGCUCAUGGAUGUCAUUUCUAUCGAUAAACCGAAUGACACCCAUGUAAAGCUACACGGUAUCGAUUGUCAAUAACCUAUCUCAAUACAUCGAUCUAUUGAAAACAACAUAAUUACUUAAUAACAUAAGUUAGAUAUUCUAAUCUCAAAUAAAAAAUCUGCACUGUUCGAGUACAAAAUGCAUGGAUAAUUGUAGUGCUUUGGAUCGACCUGUUACUUAUGUUUAAAGAAAAAUAAAUAGGUUAAGUAUAAUUAAAAUUGAUAAAAAGAAAGAUAACAUUGGCUGACUCUUAACAAAUGAUCACCGUCCGAGUCACUUUUCUUGAUUUGCCUCCACCAGGAACACUAGCCUCAAAGUAAGUGAAAGUCAGGGUGAUAUAAGAACCAAACAUUUGCCAAACCAGGAGUGCUUCACAUUAUGGUGAUGGUUGCAAAGACUGUAUAUUUGAUGUAUUUGGUUAACGUACAGUUCUCCAAAUGGAGACAUGUAGAUUGACAUAGUACAGGUCUUUUGUGAUGGUUUUAUCUAUCAAAAUGUCCAAGAUUACUGGAAAAUUCCUUCCUCAGUACAACUCAGUAAACAUUUAAACUAUUUUUACGUACAGUUAUCUUUUUACUCUAAAAAUAAAAUUAAUUUAAUGGCGUUGCUUUUUGAGCGAUGAGUCUGUAUGCAUGACUGGUUGACUAUGUAAAACCUUGAAAAUAUGUACGUUUUAGUCAAAUUUACCAUGGAACUCGUAAAUGAAGGUAUGAAGGAUAUUUUCAAUUUAUAUUUAAAGUCAAUUAAAUAACAUAUAAUUUUAUUUUUUUUCAUACUUAAAUGAUUUUAUUCAAUGUUUUUUUUGCAAAUGUUUACUUUGAAAUUUUGGCAUUUUUUUUUCUGCAGACAGAAGAUAAUUUAUUUAUGAAGAUAUGGUAUGUUGAAUAUGAUUUAUUGAUAGGUCUAUGAAUUGGUGUUAAACGAUAAAACAAUGUAAAACAAAACGAGAAAACUAACGGCCUUAUUUAUAUAAAAAAAGUGAUUGUCUUGUGACAUAUAUAUUCGGUAAUUAAUUUACCAGAAAAAAAGUACGGUGUUUGAACAGAUUCAGCAAAAGUCAAAUAGCUCAUCAAAAGCACACAUCCGCGAAAGUUUCAUUAUGUGAUGUUACAAUUGGAUGGCUGUGGAAUUGCGGUUACAACCAUUAGAACACAUUUGUGAACAUCUGUGAACAAAAUAUGCAAUACAGUCAAAAUACUCGUGAUAUGGCGUCUGUAACACUUGAAAGGUGUGAAUUAUAAAUUACCAUUUGAAACUAAGGUUUAAAAGCAACCUUGAAUCAAGAAGAUCAUUAUAGUCAAAAGAAGUACUCGAUGAUCAUAUAAACAAGGACGUAUAAAAAAGAAGAUGUGGUAUGAUUGCCAAUGAGACAACUGUCUACGAGAGACCAAAAUGACACACACAUUAACAAUUAAAGGUCACCGUACGGCCUUCAACAAUGAGCAAAGCCCAUACCGCAUAGUCAGUUUUAAAAGGCAACAAUAUGACAAUGUAAAACAAUUCAAACGAGAAAACUAACGGCCUAAUUUAAAUAAGAAAAUGAACGAAAAACAAAUAUGUAACACAUACACAAACGAAAACCACUGAACUAUAGGCUCCUGACUUGGAACAGGCAAUUAUAUAAAUAAUGUGGUGGGAUUGAAUAUGUAGGCGGUAUCCCAACCCUCUCCUAACCUGGGACAGUGGUAUAACAGUACAACAUAUUUCGAUCUAUAAAAAUCAGUUGAAAAAGGCAUAACUCGUCAGAUGGACAAAAAUACAAGUGGACGUUGCCUGGUACUUGUACAUCCCGACAACAAAAAAUACACUAGGAACAGAUCUAAGAGUAAUCGCAGUUAUUUGACAACUUGUUCAAAGCCACUAACAACUAAUGAAAAUAAAUCAUGCAUCUAAGACUAAACUAUCAAUCUGUACACAUCCAACAUCCAAUGAAUUCAGUGUAAAGACGUCAUAAACAGUCAGAGAUAUAACAUGACCUUGUGCAAUGCCAGUUACAGGUAUCGACAGAUUGUAGAUCCAUGAAUGUGUAUAUGUAUAUAACAUACUAGUAAUAUUUAGUUUGCUUUUUUUUUACUGAUAACAAAAUCAAUAUUUAUAUCAAUAAAAACCAUAGUCAAUAAUCUUAUUACAGUGUUGAAUUGGUAACCUUUUAGAAUAAGUUUAUUUAAAGGAGCGAUAAGUUUACAAGGAUCAUUUCUAAAUUUCGAAAAACAAUUAACAACGGUUAACAACAUUUCAUUAAACAUGUUAAAAAUGAGGAUGUGCUAUACCGUUUGAAAUAAGUUUUCUAUAGGCGCAACCAAACUUCAAAACCAAAUAUUUAUAUCUAUGGAAAAAUUUAGUAAAGGUUUUAAGUAAUUUAUGGUAACGAUAAACCUGGUUCAAUAAUUUACCCGUAAUACAUAGAUUGCGAUCGUUAAAAUCAAAAACGUCACAACAGCCACGGGCAUAACCAACGAGCUGUGAAAUAUAAACACCGUAAGCUGGUGCCAAAGGAACAUCACUAUCUAAAAAUGGAAAAUAAACAAUAGGGAACGACAAAUCGUCCCAUUUGUCGUAAAUUUUAGUGUAGAUUUUCCCGUUUAAAACCGAAGUAUACCUCAUACAUCAUAUAUCUCAUAUGCAGGUACUGCUCUGAUGUUGCUACAUAGAAAAGAAAAGUUCACUAUCAGGAAGCUGAAAUAAUCACUUCAGUUGUUAAAUUUGUUCUCAACCGUCUCUCAUUGUAAUUGUUUAUUUAUAAGUCAAGAUAUGAAAAAGACUUAACUGUAUUUGACGAACCUUAUUUAACGUUUCAUAUGUAGUAAAGAUUUUUAUUGUCACCAAACUUUACAUUAUUUAUUAAAAGGAUAUCAUUAAUAUAAAGUUGCAUGAAGUAAAAGGAUAAUGCUUGCCUUCUUGUAUUCUUCUUGAAAAGCACCUGUAUGAAAUCUGCUUCAUUCGAAUAAAAGAUCUUGUCGGCAAGAAGAUGAUUAGAGAAGUUGGUUCCGAUCGUUUGUUGAAAAACAAAAUAUUCAAUCAUCUUGAUCAUGUUUAUUUCAGAGAACAGUUUGUUUGAUUCCUAUAGUAAUUUUGUGUAAACUAAUCAUGAUGUAUACCUUCCUUUAAGAGUUUUAAUUCUUGUACAAAUGCUUCUUUUUAUUCAGAGACACGCUGACAUAAUUGCGAAUCUUGAAUAUGUCUUAAUCACUAUGAUCUUCUUUCACCAUUUUUUUUUUAUUAAACAAAAAAAAAAUUACUUCUUAUAAAUUAUAUAACUAUAUUUCUUAUGUUUAGUAUGCAAGUGGAGGCGAGUGAUCCCGAAGCAGGAGAAGAGAGCAACAGUGAUACGCAUAAGAAGCUGUGACAAGAAGUGGCAUCGAUCAAAACUGACAAUAUUGCUGGCAAUUGCAUAUGACGUAACUGUACUCUCAAAGAUUAUGUUAAUUAUAACAAUCAGUGUUAUCCCUCUUUAUUCACAAACUGGACUUUUGUGAUUUAUGCAUGCAUGUAAAUAUGUUAUAAUCAACUGAGAAACAUAAUCAGAGCAGCCGAGCGGGAACAUUUGUCUGGAAGUAUAAAUGAUCGUGUUAAAUUUUUUAAUGUAAUAAAGGGCAGUGUGAUUAGGAAAUAAAAAAAAUAUUUUAAGUUUGGAAAUUGAUUUUUUUUAUAUAGAUGUGAUUUUUAUGUAUAUUUCUAAAAUAAAAACGACGUUCUUAAUGAUAAAUGUUUUUGACAAUUCGGUCAUGAUAGACUAGUUGAGAAAAAAUAAACGAUUUGGGAUGACUCAUGAGACAACAUAAUCAAAAAGAGACCAAUUUUAAAAAUACACUACAUGUGUCACUUUAUCGCCUGUAAUAGUCAGCUGAAUACGUAAAAAGUGUAGAAGUCAGAACAGGCCCGUGAUGAACAAAAGUGCAACAAUUUUAAAAAACAAACCGAAAGCCUGAUUUUUACUCAAAAUAGAAAACAAUUAAGGACGCCUGAAACUAUGACUUCCUCUGUAUAAGUCACAUACUUGGUGGUUGUUACGGGGUCAGUAAACAAUAAAAUUGAGAGUGAAAUUGGGGAAUGUGUCAAAGAGACAACAACCCUACACAGAGCAGAAAACAGCCUAGGGCCACCAAUGGAACUUCAACACAGCGAGAAAACCCGCCCUGAAUUGCAUCUUAAUAACCUUGUACAGUGGUGUAACAGCACAUUAUAAUAUAAACCAUAAAAUCAAUUGGAAAGGUCUGGACUCAUUGAUAAUACUAAGUCUGUAAUCGAAUAAGUAAAAUGUCAAAAAAGGAUCGCAAUAAAGAACCCAUCGUAGUAACGGUCAUUGGAAUGUUAACCGAUCUUAACGCGGCCUUGAUCUGUGAAAGUGUAAAUUGAAGAUAAAUAUUAAAAUAAAAAGGUGAUUUGAUCAUAUGUGACAAAACAUCAGUGUCAAGAAAUCAGAGACAAUAAAUCUAUACAUAAUAUAAAGGAAAAACAAAAUACGUCAAGUUAAAUGACUGAAAGAAAGUGUAUUGUAGGACAUUAAGAAAAAGGACAACGAAACAGCAGGAAAAUGACAAUUUAACCGAAGCUACAUCUAGGUUGAUCGGGGUUGAGAUAAUAAACACUGGAGCUUACAGGGAAUCUUCUUUUUUUGUAAAGAUAAACAUAUUUCUUUAGCAUGAUCCAAGUAUGUAAAAACUUUCAAGUAACACACUGUCAACAAGAAUCUAUAUUUGAAGAUAACAGAAAGUAAGGACGAUAACUGUGUUCCAGUACCUCUAUGCAUGAAAAGUGCACGUGUAAUAUAAAUCGGCUAAUUUAAAUAUCAUUUAUGUAAAAACAUAUUUCAUUGGUAUAAAAUAAUUCAGAUACGAUAUUUUAAGCUUGCUUUUGUAAUUUGGAGAAUUCUGUGAAACUGCAUCAAAACUACAUUAGUUUUUGAUAUGAUAUUACUACCGCUCUCCUGAUUUGUUUCGUGAUAAUGUGUUCGCCUCGCCUCAAGUCGUUGGUUUCAAAUCCCAACCGGGUAAACAAAAACGUUUACAUUUGUAUUUGCUGUUUCAACGUUAAACUAGUGAAAUUUAAGAAUUAGUGCAUAGACUUGUCUGAAAUGAUUUCGGGAAAGCUGACGUUUCUCCCUAAUAACCUUUGAAAUAACGCGUUACAAACCGGUUCAGUGUGAAGGUCUAGUACAAGCAAUAUUAAUACUCAUAGAACACCUACAUGUUGUCGUCCUGAAUAUUCUUUUAAUUUGCCGCUGAAUUUCAUUGAUUGCCAAUCCUUUAUUAUACCGUUAUACUAUACAGUGAUGUGUUUUUCUUCUACUGGUUUAUAUUACAUCUUCAUAAGUUUCCACCUAUCAAAAUUAAGAAAGGGCAUGUGAUAUUUUACAACAUUUUCUGCUGUUGGAAUAUUGUUAACGGUAUUUAAUAUUAAAUCGAAUGUGUCUAUUGGGAUAACUUUAAUAGUAAAUAUUAGUAACGAUGCAGUGUGUGCGGAUCAUAUCAAAUAAAAUCGAGUAUGCGGUUAGAAUUUUGCGUAUCUUUAUUCAUCAAAAUUACAUUUGACAGUAUAUCGUAUACAGCGAUCUCUACAAUAAAAUACAAAUACGCAUUAACAUACACCGUAAGUAAAAGUACAAAUCAAAACACUAAUAAGAACAUAUUACUCAACAAAAAAUAGGACUCAUUUUCUUUCACGCUUCAUACAAAACUUGUUGAAUUAAAAAUUUAAUUGAAAUAAAUUACAAUUUACAAGUUCUUUACAUUUUUUAAUAUUUUUUCCUUAAGUAAAUAUUGUUCUUGAAAAGUAUAUAAAUAUCUUAUCGAUUAUAAUCUCUAUAUACAACAGGCGCGUAGCAACCCGUACGCAAAAACGCAGCUGCGUACAAAUCGAAAAUUUCACAAAAAUAAAAAUAUGGUAAAUCUAGUAAGAACAAAAUUAAAGUAAUGAAGUUAAUAAAUCUAGUUAGUACAAAAUUAAAGUAAUGAAGUUAAUAAAAAAAAUAUACAAAUAUGUUAUAGAUCACUUUGUAGCUAUAUUCCGUUCCGAAAACUAGUCUUCCCUUUUCAUUUACGAAACCAGCAUAGUAAUUCUGUUGCUGAUGCAAACAAUUUAAAAUGGCUGAGUCCUCCGGGUGUCAAAACACAAUUGUUACGUCUUCUAUGCCUCCUUACCGUGACAUCUUUUCUGAAGAUUCCAAAAUAACUGAUGAAAUAAAAUAUGACAUUCUUAAGAGACCAUGGACAUCAAUUCAUUUUUAUGAAUUUCCUGUGAAGUAUGUAUAAGUCUUAAACAGUCUAGUCCAACUUAAGUUUAACGGGGGUGGUAAAGGGUAAUUUUCGUGCAACUGUAUUCACCUUUUUUUCAUUUGACGUUCAACGUGUUUUCACUUUUUUAAAUUUUAGUGCAAGACGGGUGCCUCUUUCGUUCAACAAGUUACAUGUUCCCAAAUUUAAAUAAAAGUACGUGUUUUUCAUGCUUUCAGUUUUAAAGUUUUUGUUUUCCGUAAUCCUAACUUGAUUUGAAUAAAAAAAACUUUUUUUCGCGAAGUACUGAUCCACCAUCCCAACCCCACCCUUUACUACCAUUUUUAACCUUUACUAACAAGCAAAUUUUUAGAAUUUUAUCUUAAAUUUUUUUUAAUAUUGUUGAAGAAAAAAAAAUGAUUUGAUUUUGUUAUGCCCUACCUACGAUAAUAGAUGGGCUUUGUGCUUUCUGGUCUGUGCAUCCGUCUGUCUGUUGGUCCGUCCGUUGUAUGCCGGUCUCGAUGGCAACGGCAGAACGGUCUUUUAGUACCAUGAGAAGAGUGAAGACCUACUAAUGAGAAAUACAAUGAAAACGAAUCGUUUAUCUGGACUCGGUCUUUUGAACAUAUACCGAGAUUUUUUUUUAAAGCAGACACGGUUUUUGACAUUUUUAGUAGAAAAAAAGAAAGGAAAUUGGUUUUUCAGAAUUAACUUUGAGAGAAAAAAAAAAGCUGAAAAACACUGCUUGUUCACUCAUAAAAUAAAACAUAAAGUUAUUAUGUGAUUCGAAUUUUUAUUUGUGUAUUUUCUCAAUAAAAAAAAUACCAUUUAAGUUGCACAGUGUUGGCUUAGAAAUUAAGUUGUUUUCUAAUGUAAAGCGGUUCAGCAUGAUUAGGUAACAAAUAAAAUAUACCUAAUAUAAGCCAUUUCAACCCACUCUCACAUAAGGGAAAAAAAACAAAUUGUUAAGCCAACAGUACGGGUUUCUUUGUUUUCUCUGAUUAUUUAUUCCAAGUUGACUUGUUUCUCUAAAAGUAAGAUUUCUGUGAGGUCAUUUUAAGUCCUCGGAAAUUGCGAGAAUGCAGGAUUUUGCACCAUUUACCCCAGAGCUUCUGGCGGCCCCCAGAUCCCCUGCCGUAUAACUUCCUUCUCCGGCACUGCGUACACAUCAAAAUUGCCUAGCUAUGCCCCUGUACAACAUACAUAUGUGUCUCCGAAUGAUAAAUACAAUUAAUGAUAAAUAACUUGCAAUUAAUAAAAACUCUAAACAACGUUACGUACGUCAUAUGCGAAACGUCUUAAAACUCAAAAAACGGGAAACAUUACAAUUUAUAUGAGCGCAAGGCUACAUAUGCGCAAAUACUCAACAAUAGUAUCUACAAGUACUACAAAUAAUAUAAAUCAAUCUAGUUAUAAUAAAUGGAAGAAACCCAACAAUUUUGAAUAACAUUUCAGACUUAACAGACGGUUAGAACUUUAUGUUCUGUAAACGCAUCUUUCUAUAACAUAAAUCUAUAUUGACUCUUGAUAUUUGGAUUCAUAUGUGUCUUAAGGUUGUUGUCGCAUUCAUGUUUUCAUUUACCUCCUUUUAUUCAAAACCAAAGGAUUUACUUGGGUAUAGAAAUAUUGACAUCUCUGGACCUCUCCCGUCCGACAGUAUAUCCUUGCUAAAGGAGUGUGUCCGUUUUGACUUCGAAUGUACAUAUACGUAACUUCGUCCUGUCGAAAAGGAAUGUCGUUUAUCAGAUAACUUGUGUAUUGGGAGUUUCACGCUAUGUAUACAUUGAGAAACGAUUUGUAAAAAAACUUUUCGGAUAAUAAUGAUCUAAGCACAAGUACAAUGUAACAUUAUUGCAAUCUCUGAACAACAACAAAGUUCAAUUAAUUUUUUCAAUAAUUCGCAUAGCGGAUUUUAACGCAUUUUUGCGACUUUUGAUAGGACAAUCGUAGAUGCAAAAUGAACAAAACUGAUUAUUAAGAUUAUAUCUAAACAAAGGAAUGAAACGGCUAAAAUCAGUUGAAUCCGUAUAUAAACAUUUGUGGGUCCAUUUUAACUUUUAUUACAACUACAUUUGUAUUAUACCAGAUAAAAUAAAACUGCAAAAUUUGUCACCUAAAGGAGACUGCCGUCGUUGUACGCUUCGAUGUAUGAGCUACUGCCACUCAUUGAAAAUUAUUUUGUUCUGUUCUACUCCUCUUCUCAUAGCUAGAAAGGAUAAAAUGUAACCCUAGAUGUGGACUAAUGCUAAAUAAAUCAAAUGAUCAUUAUCUACAUGUAAAUAGGAUUGUCUUCACACGAAUUAAACACUAAACUGAAAUCACGAUACGGCUAUAUGCUGUCCAAAUGAGCUUAUAAAACUGACUCAGAUAUGCACUGCCGAACAAGGCUACUUGCGGGCAAUGGAAUAACUUUAUAAUUUUAUGUAAUACACCAUUUUUUCAAUUCUUUCAAAUACACAUCAUACUUUAUAUUUGUAGAAAUUGCUUUACUGUUCCUCAUAAUAUCGAAAAUGCUUAUUUUUACAUUCGGUAAACUCACUGUGUCUUUACCACACCGGCAAAAAUUGUUCGGACUCGAUGGUAUCUAACAUCCGGCACAAUGACGGAACAUCAAUAGACAGAAGAAAGAUAGGUUUCUCCUUAUUUUCUUGGUUUUUUUUUAUGAUAUCGAAGAAUAUACAUAUAUAUAUUAUACAACUUUUUUCUAUUGUGAGAUGUAAUAUUUUCUACAAUCAUUCUAAUUUUACGGAGAAAUAAGUAAAAAUGCAUGUCAAAAUGACGAAUUGAGUGAACCUUGCCUCGAAAUUGUUUAAUUUCUCGUUAAAUUGUUCACAUUGUACGGAAAGAAAGGUACGAGAAGAUAGAUACUGACACGGAGAUUACAAAACUUGUCAUUAUGAACAUCUCAAUACUUGUAUUUCUGAGUAUGGAUUGAAAGAAAUGGGUCAUGUCAAAAUGGAACUUGCCGGUUUUGUCAAUGUUUACCACUCGGUUUUGUCAUUGAUUUCACAAUGUAUAACCCGGUUUGGUCAAAUAAAAAAAAUCAUAAUCGCAUUACAUUAUUAUUGGUAAUUUAACUUCAGCGUUAAAAAGGAGUUUUGUGGGUCGUUGGAAAACAAGUUCUUUCACAGGACAACGGCUUAUUAUUUUUAAAAAUUAUAUGAUCAGUCUCAGAUUCAAAUAAAUAGUAAGCAAACACUUGAAUUCCUACUCUCAUAGUACAUUUUUUUAGAACACAAAUAAUUUUAAUUUUACUUUGCUUUCAAUUUUUUUUAACAGAAGAAUAGAUAGAAAUGAAAGUUAUAGAGCAAAUUGAGAUUAAAGCUAUCGAAUAUGCGUUUUUUUUAUGAAUUAUGGAAAAUAUGUUGACUUGAAAUUAGAGUCCAUGGUCUUAAAAAUCGAAACACACACAAUAGGAUGGUUACCUUUAUAAGUAAUAUGAUCAUUCCAUGUAUGUAUUUUUUUCUAUGAUCGUUAAACAGUUAAAAAUAAAUCUUUUAAGGACAAACGUUGAUAAUAAGCAAAUGUAUAUGCAUGCAUAAUUGACAUAGAAAAUGAAUGUUUAUAGGAAAAAAAGGAUUACAACUACAAUGCAUUAAAAAUAAAAAUUAUUUAUCACUAAUUUUAACUAUACUUCUAUGUAUAAAUUUGUAUAAUAGUCUCAGGUCAUCGACAAUAUUCAAUAAUUUUAUUUUGUUAACCCAUGGAAGUAAUAUUUAAAUAUUACUUCCAUGGUUAACCUUACUAUAAAAAAACGGGUCUGUACAGUCGCCAUUGUGCUUUGAUGAUCGUACACUUACGUUGGUCAACAUAUUUUGACAACAUAUGCGGACAGACGGAUUCAGUUUAUUUCAAAGUGGACGUAAUUCGAACAGCUUUUACAUACCGCCGAGUGUAGCCAGUCGAACAAUAUUUUCACUAUGUUUUGCUUUAAACAAUCGUUAAAUACAUGAAUCAAUAUAGUUUUGGCAAUCAAAGAUGGGGUCGGGGCGUGCAACCUAUACUCCUUCUAGAUUCGCCACUUAUUUUAUAAAGUGUAUACCGAAUUAAAAUAUUGUAAGAAAUAUAAGAAAACAGGGACACCCGCAAAAUCGGAUUAUGUGAGUUUGAUUAUGUUUAUUAUAAACAUUCUCAUUGAUAUCUUUAAACAAGCGAGAUUAAGUGAUUCGAAUUCAAAGUGAUUUAAACUAUUUGUAUAAAGCUACAUAUGUCAAAAGAAGGUUUGACUGCAACAUAUACAAGUAUGGAACAGAGCUCUAACAUUUUUUAAUGUAUUUGCCAUAGGUCAAUUGCCCAUGCCCUUGACCUCAUUUCCAUAUCAUUUUCCUUUGGCCACAUGACGAUUCAUGUGACCGUGAACUUAUUUCCUUGAUUAAUGUGUUGUUGGUUUUAAUAAUUAGAAUGUGAUCAUGUCCGUCUGGCAGGACUCAUUAGACCUCGAUUUAAAUGGUUCCAUAAACAAUUUAAGUUUUUAAGUUAAGUUUCUGUGACCAUUUCUUUUUUUUAUCUUACAGACCUUCAAAAGAAAUUGAAUUGCGAUCAUUUAAGCAUUUGUGACAUGUCAGUGCCUAUAACAUGUCUUAUUUUUUUUAUUUUUUUUUUAAAACCGCCAAUGAAUUUAGUUGCUAUGUCCGAUCAAGUUAUCUCAUUCGUGAAAUUUGAAAUUUUCAGUUGUUACACAAUUUCUUUUAAAUUCAAGAACGGUGCAAUUUUGUUUGGAAUUCUUGGUUGUUUUUAGCUCACUUGACCCAACAGGAAAAUACAUUUUUUUACAUAAAUUUUCACAUCUAAAAUUACUAGGAUGCAUUUAACAAACCUUAUCUAAAAUCAUAUGCCGUUUUUAAUUAUAAUUAGGGUAUCUAGUCUUAAAAAGUUUUCUGAGACCUCGCUUGUCAACCAAGAUGGCCGUCAUGGCUAAAAAAUAAACAUAGGGGACAUGCAAGUGCAUGAUGUCAAUUAUUUAAAAACAGCCGUAGACAUAGAAAAUUCGAAAGGGCCAGAUGAUAAUCUUCGAAAUAUCGUCCAUUUACAUCAAAAUUCUCAUAUAACUUCUUAAAGGAGUAAUUGCAUUGCCCUUAACUGACGAAUUUGAAGUUCUUUUUAUCAAUGUCUAUAUAUUAUUUUAAAAAAUAUAGUAGUAAUCUGGCUAAAAUGAUAUAGGAAGGAAGACAAGAUACACAAAUAAGUCGACUUGGCCGAUAUCUUAUAAAACUUAUUGACCUUUAAUUGAGAGUUUUUUUUUCAUUUCUUUGCGUUUUUACACGCCCGCUACAAUUAAUUUUGACAGGACGUUUUAAUGUAUACAUCCGUCCGUUCGUCUGCCCUUCCUUCCAUCCGUCAAAUCCUCCACCUUUAAGUCGUUCUGUCCGUCCUUCCGUCUACCAUGGCCUUCUGUCCAGCGUAUAAAUAUGUCGCACCGUAACUUGAGAACAGAUUAUCUAAUUUUCAUGAAACUUAACAAAGUUAUGUCUCAUAAUGGUCAAACGAUCUGUAAACCAUUUAGUAAAAAUCAAAUUAAAUUUUUGGGAGUUACAGGACAUUGUAGGUAAAACAGGAAUGUGUUUUUAACAUGUCGCACCAUAUCUCAAAAACGAUUUAUCAUUAUUGCAUCAAACUUACACUUCUUAGUUAUAUAAUCUUAACUUCUGCAUACUUUUUGGUGAUGUCUUAAAUUUUGUGUAAGCGUUAUUUAGUUUUUUUUGUAAAAAAUAAAAGGGGGGUUACAUAUUGCGAUGUAUCUCAAAACAUAUAUAAAAAAAUAUCAUAAUAUUAUAAAAUAAUUUGAUAUCAGUGUUUGCUAUUGAGUAUUUAUAUUCCAUUUGAAAUUAGUUUGAAGAUAGGUGAAAUAAGGGAUACGCCUUCCAUUAGAAGAAGAAAAUGUGUAUUACUAUAAUUACCUAUGUCCAAAAGUGCCCGUUUAAAAUAAAUUUAAACACGCCAAGUUUACUUUACAAUAAAUAUAUAUUCAAAUUCUAUCGAAAGACAAUGUUCAGAUCCGUGUUAACGUUUCUUUUCAUAAAUUGUUGGUUUUAAAUUUUUUUUUAAACCAGGUGAUAUAUAUAGACGAAACCGCGUGAUUGUGUAGAAAACAAUAUGGACAAAACCGGUGUAUUAUAAUUUGACAUGACCCAUUUCUUUCGUUCCAUACUCAGAAAUACAAGUAGAUGUUCAUAAUGACAAGUUUUGCAAUCUCCAUGUCAGUAUCUUUCUCCCCGUACCUUUCUUUCAAUACAAUGUGAACAAUUUUAACGAAAAUUAAACAAUCGCGGCAAGGUCACUAAUUCUUCAUUUUGACAUGCAUUUUUACUAUUUCUCCGUUAAUAUAGAAAGUUGUAGAAAAUAUUGAUCUCACAAUAAAACCUAGUUGUAUAGGUAUAUAUUAUUCGAUAUCAUAAAAAAAAAAAGAAAAUAAGGAGAAAUCUAUCUUUCUUCUGUCUAUUGAUGUUCCGUCAUUGUGCCAGAUGUUAGAUACCAUCGAGUCCGAACAAAUUUUGCCGGUUUGGUUUUGACACAGUGAAACUGUUGAUUUGAAUUCGCAAACCGAGAAAUAUCCCUCCAUGUUGCACUGUCCUGUAAUAAUGAAACAUAAAUAAAACUGAGCAUAACUUAGCUAAAUGAUAAAUAUAUGAAUCCCUAUAACAUAAAAAUCAGGUAAAGUGCAUUUUUGUCAAUAACUGCACAAAGUGCAUAUUUAAUUUUUAAACGCGCAAGGUACAUUUUUAUACUUUAACCGCACAAGGUGUAUUUUUUUUACUUAAACUUCAUAAGGUACAUUUUUUAUACUUAAACCGCACAAGGUGCAUUUUUGUACUUGAACCGCACAAGGUGCUUCUCAAUUAUAAAUAGCAUAAGGUACAUUUGUUUGUACUUAAACUGCACAAGAUGCUUUUCAAUUAUAAACUACACAAGAUUCAUUUUUUGUACUUAAACUUCACAUGGUGUUUCUCAAUUCUAAACUGCACAAUGUGCUUCUCUAUUAUGACUGCACCAGGUGCAUCUUCAUUCUUUAAAUCUAUACUUUGAACUAAUAAUGUAUACUUAUGAAGGGGUGUUGUACAUUCCGUAGUAGUAACGUAUUGCGAUUUCACCUUGUAGUAAUAAAUUUACACCCGAUAGUAAAAAUGUGCAUUGAACCGUACAAAAGAAUGUGACCUCCUAAGACGAACAAUCAAGUUUAAAAACAAGGACGUAACUGGUGAAUGGGGAUUGCGCGAAAAUACUAUCUUUGUCUGAACCAUAUAAAAAGAAAUGUUUAGAACAAUAAAAUUCAACAAAAUCUGUAAUAAAAUUGUAAAAUUUAUUUUCUCUGUUGUUCUUGUGACAAAAUUGACUUUUCAAAAUUUAGUAAAAACCCAGAUUUCAAUAAAGUACGAAAUGUAUGUAAACCAUAUUUGGGCAUGCGUAAACACCUGUCCUUGUUGUCACAAUCCCAUCCUUCGUCCAAAUACACAAUGAUCGGAAACCUUUGUGAUCUCAAAAUUUAUCUAAUGUACGAAUAUUUUAAUAAAAAUAUGUCAAGCAGAAGAUAGCCCAAAAGUUAACACUGAGAAAAUAAAAUAUCUACUCUUUCCUGUCAAUCAAUUACCCAGAAAAAACAUAGAAAUUUCUGAUAUUAAACAAUUCCUUUUUAAUUCUGCUUUAAAAACAAAUAAAGAAAUGUUGAAUGCUGAUCUGUUUUAUUCAAAUAUACUGAUGGAGGUUUUUGAGUAAAAGGAAUAACUUAACCGCAUUUAUCAGUGCUUAGAACUAAUUCAGAAGGCUUUUUAAACUAUCUUCCCAAAUUGUACAUGAUCUUUAAAUAGAAUUUUUACAGGCUUAAGUUCAUCAGUGUUUUCAUAACUAUCAAUUUUCUAUAUAAUUCUCAACUUGUUCAUUAAGACAGUGAUAGAGCACAUGUUAUUGUUGCUGGUACUGACUUGGUACUGCUGAUUGUACGUCCUUUGUAGGAUCAGAAACGGGCAGUAUGUCCUAGCCUUUGACAGUAAAGGCAUAGUCCUUCGUUUUACUGCUGUUGAAAGUUGUUUAGCUGACUUUAACUGUCAUUUCUCGAUCCAGAUCUGAAGCCACAAAAAAAGUCUCGAGAAUUAAACCCUCCUUUGCCACCACCCCUGCUGUAAGGCUUGCUGACUGUACGCUUACGUUUCUUCAGCAUCUUCAACACUGUAAGCAAGAGGAUCAUCCAGAUAAUCGUGAUUGAACUGAAUCUUAAUCCCUUCUUGUCUAUAGUCAAAUGAUGGAGGUUGGGAAGCAAUAACAUAAUUUAACAGUUUGUUGUGACAACACUCUUAGUGUCCGCCUCUAGCACGGAUGAACUUGUUGGUAACUUUCGAUAUAACAUUUUCUCCACUGGGCGUGAAAAAAAUUAAUUGAUUUCUGUUUGAUAUAAAUGUUAAUGUUUAAUUAUUUUAUUUAUUAAAGUAAUUUUGGUAUAUUUUUUUUUUUCAGCAAAAAAAAAUAUGUACUUGAUUCUUAAUGAUGAUGAGCUGGGUUUUUUUUAUUUGUUUGAUAUCAUAAAAAAAUAUAUAUCUUUAUCAUGUUUAUUUUGAUUAGCUUGAGAGAAAAUAAAGUAAAACGAAGGAUGUGCAUCCUUGUGCAGGUAUAAAAUGUAGAAAAGCGCUUUGGACAAGUUGAAUUUAUCAAUUGUUAUUUCCAUACUGCCGUUGGAUAAGAAACACUGAAUUUAUUUACGUUACCAUAUUGACGAUAAUAACACAGCUGAUACGUCAAGGUGACAUUAACAAUACGACACAACUACACAAAGUAAAAUUGAUAAUUUGUUGUCCGCAGCUGUCGUUUUUUCAAAUAUUUGAAGUAAUAAAACGUAUUAAUUGCUUAGUGAAAUCAAACAUGAUUUAUACCAAACAUUUAAGCUAACGGAAUAUGCAUUUGAUGUUUGCGAUGAACAUUUCCCUGAAGUUGUUACAUUUUUCAAAUUGGAUUAUCUCUCUUUUACCAGAGAAAGUACUUUGUUCUGUCUCCUAUGUCCAAUGCUGAAGUGUGGAGUCGCACAAGAAAAUGAACAUAUAUAAUACGCUUCUACAUUGUCAUUUCGGGGCCUUUUAUAGCUGACUAUGCGGUAUGUCAUUUGCUCAUUGUUGAAGGCCUUACGGUGACCUAUAGUUGUUAAUAAAAUUGAGAAAGGAAAUGGUGAAUAUGUCAAAGCGACAAUGUCUGUGUCAUUUUUGGUCUCUUGUGGAUAGUUGUCUCAUGAAUUGGCAAUCAUAUCCCAUCUUCUUUUUUAUAUUUUUUUAUACCAUAUUCAAAUUUUGUCUGCAAUUACAGUAUGUUAAAGAAAGCCUUAGCAACACUUUAGGGAUAUAUUAGCAUGCCAAUAUCUACAACAUCUUUCGAUCAGUCUAGUGGUGGAAUCUUUUCAUUGCAAUAAACAUUGACUUGAUUGAUUGAUGUUUAUUUUACCCCGCCAUAGUGCAAAAAGGCUAAAAUGCAGAGAUAUUAAAACGAAAGUUACUUCAUAAAUUGAUUCCUUUAGUUGAAAUACCAUCAAAUUGAAUGCCUUUAGUAUUAAUUAUUUUUCUUGCGUCGGUAUCUAGAGUUUUAAUAAAGUACACUUCGUAAUACAUUUUUGUUACAGAAUACAUGCUUUAAUGAACAUUAGGAUUAUAAAAAAGAUUACAGAACAUUUUAGAGACGGUUUAGAUAAACAAGAUAGAGUUGACAUUUGAAAAUGACAAACCUUUCCAUACCAGCAUUAGCUGAAACUAAAUAAGUAAAACAUGUAUACCUAAUUCAAAAAUAAAACUUUAAAUUUAUUUGAGAAAUACUGAGGAACUCUCAGGCUGUAUGUCUUACGAUUUCAAACUUUUUUAACAGUAGUUAAUCUAGUUAUCGGAUACAUCUUUGAGUUUUCGACUUACACUACAUGAUUUUACCUUUUAAAAUCAUUGUUCAUUUAUAAGAAAUCAAUCAUUAUAGUCAAAGAGUAAAAAAGGAUGGAAACGUAUUUGAUUUUAAGAAUAAAUUACAAUUCACCUAUAGAUAAUAGAAAGCGGAUUUAUUCAUCUAAAUGAUACUUUAAAAUUCCAAUAAUUAACAGGUUUUCAUAUAUAUCAUAUAAUAGUGUUUUACUUCAUGUACUGCUGUUAUUGUUAAUCUAAAAAUACAAGUAGUGUCAGUAUUAACCAUUCUGACAAUAGCGAUAAAAAUAUAUCUAAUCCAAAGGGUGUCUGAAAGGUGAUUGAAAAUGACCGUCUAGAUCUACCGUUAUCAAACCUCAGUUAUAUUUUCUGAACUCAUAUAAAAAAGCAUCAAUCUCAUAUUCUCAUAUAGUUGAUAAAUGGACAUAGUUUUCCAAACAUGAUCCAAGAAAUGAUGGGUGUAUCCAUCGAAUUUUUUAAACAGUGCAUUUCGUACUUUUUCAAUGUGUUCACGAAAUGCGCUGUUUUAUGAGAAAAUUUUACAGACUUGUUUUAAUAGAGAAUUCAUGCAUACCCAACCGCUUAAGAGUCAUGUGGACUGAUAGCAAUCUGAAAAUAUCUUAAACACCAUAAACCUUUAUGGCAAUACACUGAGUGUCUACAUCUAGCGGAAUGGAGUUUCGGCAAUUGUAAAAUUUGCCAUUUUACCCUUUUAAAUUUUUAAGUUAGCGUUGUCUUUUAACCGACGAGUGUAUUCUAUAUAGAAACGUACUUUGAAAAUUCACUAUGGAAGGUAAGUUUGUUAUUUGUUUGUAAAGGUUUUUAAUUCGUUUAUGAGUUUGAUAUAAAUAUAUAUGUUCAAUAUUUUUAUUGCAUGUAAUUGUUGUAUAUAUUUGGGUUUUUUUUGUAUUUUUGUUCCAGCAAAAAGGAAAUGAUUUUCCUGUUUUUAAAUGACACCGAGUCUUUUUGCAUGAUGCACUGUAUUGGUUUGAUAUUAUAGUAAAUGAUUACUUUUCAUUGUAGUAGGUUCUUCUUAGCGUUAUCUUAAAAUAAAACGAAGUCCUCCGUCCUUAUGGCAGGUAAAUCUAGAAAGGCACUUAGAUUGGCGGAACUUGAUAAAAAGUUUUUUUAGUAUUGGCGUUGAAUAAGAAAUAAUGUAUCUUGUUAGGUAAGCAUGUCGAUACUAGCACUGCUGAUACGUCAACGUGACAGCUACCGUACUACACAACUAACCACAGUAACAUUGAUAUUUUUCGUCUGUAAACUAUUUGAAUGUUACGUCAUUUUUAUAAUUUACUGCGUUGAGGCCUGGACUGAGUCGAGUGUGUCUAUUCGUGUUGUCUUUGCAUUAUGUAUUCUGUUUGUUUUCUGUAAUGGUAAUACUUCAGUUUCAUUAUGUAUAUCUGUUAUAUUCAUUUGUUAAAAUACUGUUUCAAUAGCAUUAAUUGUUCUAAAUAAUAGGAUUUCUUAUCCCAAGCAUAAAAACAUAGACGUAUAUGACACAACCUUUUUCAACUUUUGAUCUUCAGUGCUGUACAACUUUGUACUCUUUUUCACUUUCGAUCUUUUAUAUCUGGGCGUCACUGGUGAGUCUUGUGUGGACGAGGCGCGUUUUUGGCGUAUUGAAUUUUAAAACCUGAGUUUUUUGUUAUCAUUAAUCAUGUGUUUUUUGUCUAUAGUUCUCCUAUUUAUUUGUAUUGUAGUCCUGUAAUAUCAUGUUGUCAUUUCAAUGUAAUAUUUAACAUAGCCGUUAAAGUGCGAGGUUUGGCAUGCCACAAAACCAGGUUCAACCACAUUUUUUCUUUAAAAAUGUCCUGUACCAAGUCAGGAAUUGGCCAUUGUUAUAUUAUUGUUCGUUUCUGUGUGUGUUACAUUUUAACGUUGCGUCGUUGUUUUCUCUUAUUUUUGAGUGUAAUUUCACAUUGCGAUAAGACGUGUCACGGUAUUGUCUAUCCCAAAUUAAUGUAUUUGUUUUGUUUAUUUUGUUAUUCUCGUGGGAUUUUUGUCUGAUGCUUCGUCCGUUUCUGUGUGUGUUACUUUUAGUGUGUGUCGUUGUUCUCCUCUUAUAUUUAAUGCCGUUUCCCUCGGUUUUAGUUUGUUACCCCGAUUUUGUUUUUUGUCCAUGGAUUUCUGAGUUUUGAACAGCGGUAUACUACUGUUGCCUUUAUUUGAAACGCACAAAUAGCUAAGCAGGCUGAUGUAUACAGAAUGAAUAUAGAUAUAAAAAUAAAAAGAUGAAGUUUAACUGUCAAUGAGACAACCUUUUGCAUGAGAUUCUGCUACGUGGAUGGAAGCAACUAUAUGGGUAGGCCUUCAACAAUCAACAACAAUCAAUAUCGCAUAUUAUAUAGGAAAAUCCAGUAACAUCAUUUCCACUUGGAAAAUAUGAUAUUUUUGUUCUGAACGGAAUAAAUGGUAUACAGAAAACUUGUUUCAAGAAGACAAUAUAUUAUAACUGUUACAUUGUUUAACACAAUUUAUAGAGAAAUUUAUUAGAAGAUACAAGUAUGCGUAGACAUGGCUUAACUACUUUGCUUUCGUAAAAUUAUUGUAUACGUAUCCACGGUUUUGAUAUAUAUUUUCUGACCAAUGUAUAUAACCUAGUCAAACCACAAAUAAUUUAUACAAUUGGCGAUUUAUAGCGUGAUAUAUGAUAUGCAAGGUGGUCUUUGGUCAGGCACAGCCGCAAUACGAUCAUCUCUGAUUCAAUGGUACGUUCUUAAAACAACUGAAACUAACCGACCAUGGGUGAUCCAUGACCCAAUGAUAUUAUCACCAAUAAUCGAUUUUUACUGGACAUUUUGUUUCUGAUGUUUACAACAAUAUGGAAGAUCACAACAAAGUUCAAUAAAACGUAUCCCGAAUUUCUAUUAACAAGUUCUUAUUCGGAAAAUUCGUACACCAGUAUUCCGAAUUUGAUUAGUUUAAACAAGCGUUUUACUAUAUUAUCUUCUAACCUAUGCAAUAAAAAGGUACACUGCCGGUUUCUAGACUUUUCAUAAUCAUAUUAGGUAAAGUUAUAGAUUCAAAAACUUUUUUUUUAUGUAAUAACAUAGACAUUCUUUUUUCAAUAUCUAUUAUUAUGCAUAUAUGUAAGCAAUAACAGCAAUAUUUGUUAAAUUUACAUCUAAUUAUUUAGCAGUUCAAGAAGAGUCUCCUGGUUAUCCAAAUCAAGUAGUACCUAGUGGAGCAAGAUAUAAAAAACAUCAUCGCACAGUAGUAUACGAGUUUCGAUCAACUGAACCAUAUGAUCCACGAAACUGUCGAAUACGACUUUCGUUAAUUACAGAUGAAAAUGUGGUAUAGAGGAAUCGUCCAGCUUUAAUGACAUUGUUAUAGGCAUGCCAUUGACAAACAGGUUUUAUUUUAUAUAAUUAACAUCUAAUUAUUGACUGUAUUAUGUUUGAACGGUAGGUUCUUUUUGAAGUUAUUUUGAAGAUAGAUCGUUAAAAAAAAAACACUCAAAAGAUUCCCGAUAGGUAUACGAAUUUAUAUAAGCGCGCUGCUAUUGUUCCCUAUUCCAAUACUAGUAUAUUUAAUUACUUGUUUAUUUCGUAUGUAAUUACUCGUGUAGCUAUAAAUAACGAAUCCUUUGAUAAAAUACAAAAACAAAAUCAAUAAAAACAUGACAAUCGAUAGAGAAAUACAACAAAGUGAAAUCAUACAUGAUUUCUAACAAACAUUUUAGCGAACAGAAAAUCCGUUUGCGAUAUGCGAUGUUCAUUUCCUUCAAGUUGUUAUAUUUUUCGAAUUGGAUUAUCUCCCGUUUACUAGAGAAAAGAAAUAUGUUCUGUCGCCAAUAUUUAAUGUGAAAGUCUUGAAUCGCACAAGAAAUUGAACGUUUAUUAUACGCCUGGAUUGUUUGACUUAAGAUAAUUGCUAAUCUAAUACGGAUAAUACAAAAUGGCAUCCAUGGAAAUCCGGACGGGAUUGUUUUAAGUUUUAUAAUCAAUUUCAUUUCUUUUUAAUCACGUUGUGUCAGUGAAUUUACUUUGUGGGAUAUAUAUCUAACUCUCAGUAAGAAACAUUAAAUUGAUAUAUAUCCCCGUUUUGGUGUAUGAUACGAAUACUGUGUUGUUAUUUUUUGCUAAGAUAUUCAAUAGUUUAAAGUAUUCUGAUGCAAUCGCAUUAUGAAAAACUAGGUUUAUUCAUCCAAUUUCUAAAUCAGGAAAUGCAUGUACCAAGUCAGGAAUAUAAUAGUUGUUUUUCUAUUCGUUUGGUGUGUUUGAGCUUUUUAUUUUGCAAAUUAAUAUAGCACUUUUCAGUUAAAAUUUUCCUUCGGGUUCGUUUUUUUGUUGUUACUUCACUUUUUAUGUCAUUUCUGAAGUCUUAUUGUUAAUUUCCCUAACAUAUAUACCAAACAUUGUGUAUUAGCAACAUGCUUUUCAGUGUUUAGAAGCAAUAUGAUUUAUUGGUCUAUAAAGAUACAGCUUCACAGUAGUAUUCGUAACAAUACAAAGCAUUACAUAAACGGUUCUGGGUGUCUCUUUGCUCUUUAACUUUGUACUUGCUCGGUUUUAUAACUAUUUUGAUCUUAGCGUCACUGGGGAGUCUUGUGUAGGCGAAACGAAAGUCUGACGUAUAACAUAAUAAUACCGAUACCUUCGAUAACUAUUUAGUAUAUUACUUCUCUGUUGUCAAGGGGUAUUACAAUAGCGCAUCAUAUACUUUUUCUGAUGCACAAAUCAAUACGUGUACUAUUCAUAAAGGGAGACAAUUCUGGCAAAGUAGAUAUCUUCCCGACUCGACCAUUAUUAUUAUAUAUGUUUUAACUGUUUAUCGGUCUACUCAAUGUCAUAUCUGUGUGAUUGUAUUAAGUUAAUUUACACACCGGGUAUCCAGAUCAUAAAUCCAUGGAGGACUUCUGAUUCCUUUGUGGUUCCGGCAUACACGGUGUGAUUUAAUUAGAAAUAUACCACACGCUGAUGCAACUUGUCGUAUGAUUUGUUUCAAACUAAAUAGGAUGAAUGUGAAUGUGAGGAUAAAAUAGAGUUAGUUGCAAUAGUUAAGAUUUUAUAAUGAUUUCAAUCACGUAAUAUGUUCCCCUUCCUAUCCCAAAAUACUUGUAUUAGCAUUGGUUAGAUAUAGGAAGAUGUGGUAUGAGUGCCAAUGAGACAACUCUCCAUCCAAGUCUCAAUUUAUAAAAGUAAACCAUUAUAGGUCAAGGUACGGUCUUAAACAUGGAGCCAUGGCUCUCAUCGAAAAGCAACAUAUAAAGGACCCCAAAAAAAUUACAAGUGUCAAACCAUUUCAAACGGGAGAACCAACGGUCUAAUCUAUAAAAAAAAAAACCACGAGAAAUCAGAAACACUUAUGAACUACAUCAACAAACGACAGCUAUACUGAACAACAGAUUCCUGACUCUGGGCAGGUGCAAACAAUUGCAGCGGGAUUCAACAUUUUAAUGGUACCAAACGGUCGCCCUUACCUGAAACAAUAGUGUAUCAUCACAACAUAGAAAGACACAUCAUAAAAUAUCAAUUGGAUUGCCUUCACUCCAUCAUAAGAUUAUACAUGUUAUGAAACAAAGUUAAUUUAUAUAUAUUUUUUAUGUUUAGAAUACAAGUGGAAGAAAAUGAAAGAACCAGUUCACUAGUGAUAUCCAACCGUAACUUUUAGAUUGUGUCAGUUCAGAUUGUAAAAAAUAACAAGUAAAACGAAUGUUAAACGAAUGUGAAAACAGUGAAAAGUGUGUGGAAUCGACCAAAAUUGACAAUCAGAUCUUAU